UUAAAACGGUCAGUAACACGUAGUUAACCUACCCUGAAGAUGAGAUAACCCGGGAAACUGGGACUAAUCCGCGAUAGAUCAUCGCUUCUGGAAGGGGCCUUGGUCCAAAAGGAUGAAUAAGUAUGUUUAUUCAUUCGCUUCAGGAUGGGACUGCGGCCGAUCAGGUUGUUGGUGGGGUAUUGGCCCACCAAGCCUAUAACCGGUACGGGCUUUGAGAGAAGGAGCCCGGAGAUGGACACUGAGAAAAGAGUCCAGGCCCUACGGGGCGCAGCAGGCGCGAAACCUUCGCAAUGCGCGAAAGCGCGACGAGGUUACUCCGAGUGUUAUCCGCUGAGGAUAACUUUUGCUGGGUAUAAAUAACCUAGAGAAUAAGGGGAGGGCAAGUCUGGUGUCAGCCGCCGCGGUAAUACCAGCUCCCCGAGUGGUUGGGAUGUUUAUUGGGCCUAAAGCAUCCGUAGCCGGUCUUGUAAGUCUCCUGUUAAAUCCAACGGCUUAACCGUUGGGCUGCAGAAGAUACCGUAGGACUAGGAGGCGGGAGAGGUGGAUGGUACUCAAUGUGUAGGGGUAAAAUCCUUUGAUCCAUUGAAGACCACCAGUGGCGAAGGCGGUCCACCAGAACGCGCUCGACGGUGAGGGAUGAAAGCUGGGGGAGCGAACCGGAUUAGAUACCCGGGUAGUCCCAGCUGUAAACGAUGCGAGCUAGGUGAUGGGGUGGCUACGAGCCAUCCCGGUGCCCCAGGGAAGCCGUUAAGCUCGCCGCCUGGGAAGUAAGCCGCAGAGCUGAAC
rnacentral:rRNA from 1 species